CUCCUGGCUGCUCUCACAUGUGUGAGCGCUGUGACUGUGGUGACACAGCAGCCUUCUGUAGUGACGCUGACCAGAGGAGAGAAGGCCUUCAUCGACUGUAACCUGGGGAGCGUUAAUAAUUCUGCUGCUCGCUGAUGGUGGCACAGUGUGAAGCCUUCAUGAACCACCAUUUUAUAACAUUCUCACAUGACUGAUUAUUUGACGAAAACCUUCCUGGACACUUAUGUGAACUGUGCUGCUGUGACGUCAUGUGGCAUGUGUCUCAAGGAUGUUUACAGGUAGGCUAAAGGGGAUUGAGCCCAGAACCUUUUGGUAGGGGUCUACCUGCAGUCACUGGAUUACCUAACAAAUACAUGAAAUUGAAUCAUUCAGGGGUUAUAUGUGAUACUGUUUGGGCAAGUGGCUGAUGGAAAUCACACAGGAUUUAGGUUUUGCAACGAGAAAAAUAAAAGAAAGAGCUGAGAUUUAUAAACCCUUUCAUUCGUACUCUACAGUAAUUUGACCUGUAGUAUUUUUAUGAAUGAAGUGCAUGUUGGAAGACGGGAGUUUAUUGGGAUUCAGGAGACAGGUGUGAUCAAUACUUCCUGACCUCUACUCCUCUGGUUAGUCUUGGACUCAUACAUCUAUUCUACAUGAACCCUUUGGGAUGCUGCUCCUUUGGUUGAUCAAUAAUAUUACUGAAGAGGCUAAGUCAUUGAAUUUCUUGUUACUAUAAUAUAAUAUAGAGGAAGAGGUGUAUCUGUUAUUCUUCAAUAACCCCACUUCAUAAAAGCCUCACUUCUGCUUCAAGUUCUUCAUGGUAACGUUAUGUUGAAGAGAUAUUUUUUGUAUUUUUUGCUGAAAACUCAAUGUAGCGAUAGUCGGCACUCAUUUAACCAUUUACCGCAAUUUGUGUUUAUCUAUAGAUGGAGACAAGUAAACGUUGGACUUCCGUGGAUCUUUCACCUACCAAAGGAACUGGAUGGUGAAUCAAAGAUGAACAAAAUGACCUAUCUUGUUUGUAUUUACUGGAAAUGGCAUUUUAAUUGACGAUGUGGCAAGGACAAAUUCUUACUUGGACUUCACUGGAUGAAAACGGUUUCUACCUGUUAUUCCUGGGAAAGGCAUCACAUGGAGGGUGGCUCCACUGCCUUCAACAAGUCAGGAGGUUUUUGUACGGCCAUGUAUACAAACUGAAUCACUGUGGUAUUCGGCAGAGGCACCAAGGUGAUCGUUACUGGCUCCAGCCUCCCUCCUCCUGUCCUGACAGUCUACCGUCCUUCCACCAAUCCCCUCUCGUCCAGCCAUGCCGCUCUGGUCUGUCUGGCACGGCAGAUGUCUAUCGGCUUCGCAGAGGUGAGCUGGCUGGUCAACGGGAGUCC